UAGGAGGACCAGUGUGAAGAUGAGC
rnacentral:piRNA from 1 species